rnacentral:rRNA from 1 species
AACGCGAAGAACCUUACCAACCCUGACAUGGCAGGACCGCUGGAGAGAUUCAGCUUUCUCGUAAGAGACCUGCACACAGGUGCUGCAUGGCUGUCGUCAGCUCGUGUCGUGAGAUGUUCGGUUAAGUCCGGCAACGAGCGCAACCCACGUCCCUAGUUGCCAGCAUUCAGUUGGGCACUCUAUGGAAACUGCCGAUGAUAAGUCGGAGGAAGGUGUGGAUGACGUCAAGUCCUCAUGGCCCUUACGGGUUGGGCUACACACGUGCUACAAUGGUGGUGACAGUGGGUUAAUCCCCAAAAGCCAUCUCAGUUCGGAUUGUCCUCUGCAACUCGAGGGCAUGAAGUGGAAUCGCUAGUAAUCGCG